ensembl:processed_transcript
GUCCAUUGACAAAUGCUGUUUUCAGGGGAAUUCCAGUGUCUUUGUCAAGAUCUUCACUUGUAUUCAGACCAGAAUGUUCCGUCCAUAUUUGUCUGAAGCGUUCUUCAAACUCUGCAACACUUUCUCCAGUUUUCUGCAUGCAUGAGGUAAUUCUUGCCCAAUUGACCUCUGCAGGUUUCAGUUCAAACAAGAAGUUUUUUAUGGCUUCCCAUCCAUCCUCUAUGUUUUCUUGUGAUUCACCAAUCCUUCUUUCAACACUUUCUGUGAGUCUCUUUUGGUCACUGUCUCUUAGGGUGACAUUAAGAAUCAUCACACCGUCUAGUGGAUGUAAAAUGUAGAUUUUCUGCAGUCGUUGAAGAAACUGCCAAACCUUUCGUGGUUGUUUGUAUACAUCUGGCAGCUCUUUUGACCAUUUGUCAACUUGCUCUGGAGUAGCUGGAUGGUAUGUCCUGUAUGGAACAUACUUCUUUACCACUUUUGUCACAGUGCGAGUUCGUCUCUCUCCAUUGUCUUCAUAGCCCUCCUCAUUGUCAAUUUCAACGUUAGUCCUUCUGUGUUUGACAAUCACAGGAGCUAAUCUAAUCUUUGAGUUCACUGGGUCAUGAACACAGGUGUUGAUGGAAAGAUCAGCCUCACUGUCAACAAAGCUGCUUGAAGAUCUUGAUUCCAGCUGUUUAGAGAUCAAAGUCAAUAGUUUGUUGUUUUCCUUUUCCAGUCUUUCUUUAUCCUUCUUUAAGUUUUGCAAUUGUUCAGCCAGUGCUCGAACUUUAGCUUUCUCCGCUUUGUUCUCACGUUCCAAUCUGUCAAUCUCACACUUAUGCUCAUGUUGAAGAAUUUGCUUAACCAAAAUCACAGACAAUCCAUCCUUCUUGGUGGUUGUGCAUAAGCGCUGUGUCUUUCCAUAAGCCCUUUUAAUGUCCGGCAAUGCCCAUAAUCCACU